GAUAAAGAGAGAUCAGAAAUACAAGAGGCAGAGGAAGCAAGGUUGAAAAAAAUUAGGGAAUGCAAAUUACGACAUGGACACCUAUGGUGAGAUUGUUUAAGGACUUUGAGUAAUAAUUAAGUCUUUUGUCAUGAGUUAUUACUUUCUCUCACAAUGUUGUAACUUAGAAAAGUAUUAUUAAUACCAAAA